AAGAAAUUCCCUUCAGCGCUUUGUUACUCGUUCCAAUUUCUCUGAUCCCUCUGCUGGUUUCCUCCUAGCCGCCAAACAUGCAGUGGAUUCUUAUGUGAAGAGUGGUAUGGUAAUAGGAUUGGGCUCAGGUCAUGCUUCUGCUUUGGCUAUACAAUAUCUAGGUCAGCAACUUGGGGUUGGUGCUUAUAAAAGAUGUCACUGGCAUACCCACUAAAGGACAAACAUCAUCUUCUCAAAGCAUAGCUCGUGAAGGAAUAGAGAAUCAGGGAGUAGAAGACAUUCAACCACCAGUCCAUGUAUAGGAUCAGUUUGAUGAAGUAGCACCAAGGCCAGCAAGCAGAAUCCUAAGGGAUUAUGUUAGACCUGACCGCUUCAACUGUGAAUCUAGUGUCAGAAAACCCCCAGUGGCAGCCAACAACUUUGAAAUCAAGACAGGCCUGAUUCAAACGAUUCAACAGUCUUGCAUCUUUACUGGAGACGCAAGUGAAGAUCCACACAGUCAUUUAAUUGACUUUUUGGAACUUGUUGAAACAUCUAAGUAUAAUGGAGUACCUCAUGAAGCUAUCAAGUUAAGGCUAUUUCCUUUUUCUUUAAAAGGAGAUGCCAAACCUGGUUGCGAAGUUUGCCACAAGGUUCCAUUACCACAUGGGACCAAAUGACUCAGAAAUUUUUAAACAAAUAUUUUUCCCCCGCUAAAACCACAAAGUUAAGACAAGACAUCUCUAAUUUCUUGCAGACUGACACUGAGUCAAUUUAUCAAGCUUGGGAAAGAUUAAAAGCAAUGUUAAGAAAAGGCCCACACCAUGACAUUACUAAACAUAUGCAAUUGUAUAUUUUUUAUCAUGGGUUAAAACCAUCUUCUAGAAAUGUGAUUGAUGCAGCUGCAGGAGGUUCUGUAAUGGGAAAAACCACGGAAGAGGCAUUACAAUUGUUGAACGAGAUUUUUGAGAAUGCCAUCCAAUGGUCAUCUGAGCAUGUA